rnacentral:misc_RNA from 1 species
GUCCACUGGACCUUAUCAUUUAGAGGAAGGAGAAGUCGUAACAAGGUUUCCGUAGGUGAACCUGCGGAAGGAUCAUUGUCGAUGCCUCACUCCAGAGAGACCCGCGAACGCGUUCUACUACCGGGGACGGGCGCAUUCGUCGCCCUCCUCACAAGUGCCGGGGCUCGUCCCGGCGCAACAACAACAAACCCCGGCGCGGAAUGCGCCAAGGAAGUAACAAUUGCAAAGCGCGCCCCGUCGGCCCGGCAGCGGUGCCCGUACGGGCGGCGUCGCAACACUCGAGUCCAAAACGACUCUCGGCAACGGAUAUCUCGGCUCUUGCAUCGAUGAAGAACGUAGCGAAAUGCGAUACUUGGUGUGAAUUGCAGAAUCCCGUGAACCAUCGAGUCUUUGAACGCAAGUUGCGCCCGAAGCCAUUAGGCCAAGGGCACGCCUGCCUGGGUGUCACUAACCGUUGCCCCAGCCCCCCGUGCCCGUGGCCGGGGAGCGGGGCGAAUGCUGGCUUCCCGUGAGCGCCGACUCGCGGUUGGCUGAAAAUCGGGUUCGUGGUGGACGAAGCGCCAUGACAGACGGUGGUUGAGCGAGUUCUCGAGGCCAGUCAUGCGCGCGGCCUCCACCAGCUCCGUGCCCAGUGACCCGCGGGCGAUCGCCCACGACGCGACCUCAGGUCAGGCGGGGCUACCCGCUGAGUUUAAGCAUAUCAAUAAGCGG